GGCUCAACCAUAAAAUUGCCUUUGAUACUGCAGGUCUUGAGUCAUGGUGGGGUUGCCGGAACAUGUGGUGUAGCGGUGAAAUGCAUAGAUAUCACAUAGAACACCGAUCGCGAAGGCAGGUGACCAACCAUGUACUGACGCUGAUGGACGAAAGCGUGGGUAGCGAACGGGAUUAGAUACCCCGGUAGUCCACGCCGUAAACGAUGGAUACUAGCUGUGGGGACUUCGGUCUCCGUGGCCAAGCGAAAGUGAUAAGUAUCCCACCUGGGGAGUACGUUCGCAAGAAUGAAACUCAAAGGAAUUGACGGGGGCCCGCACAAGCGGUGGAGCAUGUGGUUUAAUUCGAUGAUACGCGAGGAACCUUACCAGGGCUUAAAUGCAGGCUGCAUGGGGUAGAGAUACCCCUUUCUUCGGACCGCCUGCAAGGUGCUGCAUGGUUGUCGUCAGCUCGUGCCGUGAGGUGUCAGGUUAAGUCCUAUAACGAGCGCAACCCCUACCGUUAGUUGCCAGCAUGUCAAGAUGGGGACUCUAACGGGACUGCCGGUGCAAACCGUGAGGAAGGUGGGGACGACGUCAAAUCAUCACGGCCCUUACGUCCUGGGCUACACACGUGCUACAAUGGCCGGUACAGAGGGAAGCCACCCCGCAAGGGGGCGCGGAUCUACAAAACCGGUCACAGUUCGGAUCGGGGUCUGCAACUCGACCCCGUGAAGCUGGAAUCGCUAGUAAUCGGAUAUCAGCCAUGAUCCGGUGAAUACGUUCCCGGGCCUUGUACACACCGCCCGUCAUAGCCAU
rnacentral:rRNA from 1 species